AGCGAACGCUGGCGGCAGGCCUAACACAUGCAAGUCGAGCGGUAGAGAGGUGCUUGCACCUCUUGAGAGCGGCGGACGGGUGAGUAAUGCCUAGGAAUCUGCCUGGUAGUGGGGGAUAACGUCCGGAAACGGACGCUAAUACCGCAUACGUCCUACGGGAGAAAGCAGGGGACCUUCGGGCCUUGCGCUAUCAGAUGAGCCUAGGUCGGAUUAGCUAGUUGGUGAGGUAAUGGCUCACCAAGGCGACGAUCCGUAACUGGUCUGAGAGGAUGAUCAGUCACACUGGAACUGAGACACGGUCCAGACUCCUACGGGAGGCAGCAGUGGGGAAUAUUGGACAAUGGGCGAAAGCCUGAUCCAGCCAUGCCGCGUGUGUGAAGAAGGUCUUCGGAUUGUAAAGCACUUUAAGUUGGGAGGAAGGGUUGUAGAUUAAUACUCUGCAAUUUUGACGUUACCGACAGAAUAAGCACCGGCUAACUCUGUGCCAGCCGCCGCCGUAAAAC
rnacentral:rRNA from 1 species